UCCAACGCUUUAAUCAUUCGUCUUAUUUAAAUUUUUUUAUAAUUAUUUUUUUUAUUAUUACUAGAUGAUAAAAUAUAAAUAGGACUUUAUACGUGACUAAUUUUUUUAGAUUUUUAAUAAAUUUUCUAAAUAAGACGAAUGGUUAAAAGUUGAACA
rnacentral:pre_miRNA from 1 species